UUCUGAGUGAUGUCAUAGCCAGGAGAACACCAGUUCUAGAGCCACAGCUCCUUUAGACGGCGUGGUGGAGGGCAGAGAAGCACCAGGGUUAUCUAUCAUUAAGCUGGACCUUAGUUGGGAAGAGCAGUCAGUGGGUUGUGACAAGUGCGACAGGUCCAUCUGCCGAGCUCUUCUGCAUUGUAUGUUUCUGCAUUUGUAUGUUGAAAUAUAGAAAAUAUGCCCCAAAGGAGAUCACAUCAACUUCUGGGUAAAUUUGCAGUGUGCGACAUUCCUCUUUUUGACAUAUGUAGCUUGAAUGUCUCCAGAGACCAGUGCAAGAAACUAGGCUGCUGUUUUUCUAAAGAAGUCUGCUACGAAAAAGCUGUUCCAGCUUAUGUCCAAGCAUUUACUGCCUUGAUCAUUAUCAUCCUGGGAGUCUUCGUUAUCUAUGUAACAUACAGCAUGACUAAUGGAACCAAAGAGAAGAACGAACAAGACCCAACAGUAAGAAAUUGAAUCAUUAGAUGCCUGAAGAAGAAGCUCUGUACCAAAAUAGCCCCAUUGUCCAAUCAUAUCAACUAAAAUGAAUGAGAUUAAAACUCUGCACGCUGAAAAUAUUUAGUCUAGAGAAGACUGAAGAGACCCUGAAUACUUGGAAAUGCAUCUAGUUACAUUGACAAUGCCAAUGUAAGAAGAGGAAGAGGUGGACUAAGGAGCUCAAUAAAACCAAGGAAGAAAUAAUGUGGAGAUGAUUAAGAGACAUUUUCUUUGGUUGGUCAGGUUCCAUUAUUUUGUAUGAUGGAUCUAUCACUUCACUUAGUAAAAAGAAUAUAAAUGUUA